rnacentral:rRNA from 1 species
AGAAAAAAAUUUUAUUUAUGGCCUAAGUAGUAAUAGUUAUGUUCUCAAAAUUUGAAAAAUUUGGCGGUGAUUUAGUCUAGUCAGAGGAACCUGUUUUUGAAUCGAUAAACCACGAAUAAUCUUGCUCGAAUUUGUAGAGUAUGUAUACCAUCAUUAUUAGGUAAUUUUUAUAGAACUAAUUGCUGAAAUUUUUAAUAAUGUUAAAUAUAUUAGAUCAAGGUGCAGCUUAUGUUUGAGUUAAAAUGGGUUACAAUAAGAUUUAUUUAUUACGGAUAGGUAAUUUAAAUAUUAUUUGGAAGGAGGAUUUGAUUGUAAAAUAAGUUUAACAUGCUUAUUAGAUAUAAGCUCUAAAUCAUGUACACACCGCCCGUCACCCUACAAACUAGUCUAGUGGGGGUAGCCAGUUUUGCGGGUGCGAGCGAGUUUUUGUGGGGUGCAGGGAUCCAGGAAGGGGUCCGGGGGGACGAGACGAUCUCCGCGCC